rnacentral:rRNA from 1 species
CUAGCGGCAGCUUAACACAUGCAAGUCGAACGGUAACUCUUGGUGCUUGCACCAAAAGACGAGUGGCGGACGGGUGCGUAACGCGUAUGCAAUCUACCUUUUACUAGGGUAUAGCCCAGAGAAAUUUGGAUUAAUCCCCUAUAAUAUCAUGAAAUCGCAUGGUUUUAUGAUUAAAGCUUCGGUGGUAAAAGAUGAGCAUGCGUCCUAUUAGUUUGUAGGUGAGGUAACGGCUCACCUAGACUACGAUAGGUAGGGGCCCUGAGAGGGGGAUCCCCCACACUGGUACUGAGACACGGACCAGACUCCUACGGGAGGCAGCAGUGAGGAAUAUUGGACAAUGGACGAAAGUCUGAUCCAGCUAUGCCGCGUGCAGGAUGACAGCCCUACGGGUUGUAAACUGCUUUUAUACAGGAAGAAAAACUCCGACGUGUCGGGGCUUGACGGUACUGUAAGAAUAAGGAUCGGCUAACUCCGUGCCAGCAGCCGCGGUAAUACGGAGGAUCCAAGCGUUAUCCGGAAUUAUUGGGUUUAAAGGGUCCGCAGGCGGUUUUUUAAGUCAGAGGUGAAAUCCUACAGCUCAACUGUAGAAUUGCCUUUGAAACUGAAAGACUUGAGUUAUUGUGAAGUGGUUAGAAUGUGUGGUGUAGCGGUGAAAUGCAUAGAUAUCACACAGAAUACCAAUUGCGAAGGCAGAUCACUAACAAUUAACUGACGCUCAGGGACGAAAGCGUGGGUAGCGAACAGGAUUAGAUACCCUGGUAGUCCACGCCGUAAACGAUGGAUACUAGCUGUAUGUCUACCUCAGGUAGAUGUGUGGCCAAGCGAAAGUGAUAAGUAUCCCACC